AGAACUUCUCAGCCUUGUGGCUGAGUUCAAGUGUAGUAUCUGUUAUUAUUAGUUUCACAUUUGACAUGUCCUCUGCCAAGGUUAAGAUAUUAAAUGGGUCUUGGGGUCAGGGAGAUAGAACAGGAGCCUGUUCUGUUGACUACACUCCUUAAUUUGGUAUUGGAAUGUUUCCAGGAAUGUUGCACGGAGA